ACUCAAAUGAAUUGACGGGGGCCCGCACAAGCAGUGGAGCAUGUGGUUUAAUUCGAUGCUACGCGAAAAACCUUACCAGGGUUUGACAUCCCGGUGUAACCCCAUAGAAAUAUGGGGCCCCUUCGGGCGCCGGUGACAGGUGGUGCAUGGUUGUCGUCAGCUCGUGCCGUGAGGUGUUGGAUUAAGUUCCGCAACGAGCGCAACCCUCGUUGCUAGUUGCCAUCAUUAAGUUGGGCACUCUAGCGAGACUGCCAGCGUCAAGCUGGAGGAAGGUGGGGAUGACGUCAAAUCAUCAUGCCCCUUACAUCCUGGGCUACACACGUGCUACAAUGGCCGGUACAACAGGUUGCUACUUCGCGAGAAGAUGCGAAUCCCCAAAGCCGGUCUCAGUUCGGAUUGUAGGCUGCAACUCGCCUGCAUGAAGCUGGAAUUGCUAGUAACCGUGGAUCAGCAUGCCGCGGUGAAUACGUACUCGGGCCUUGCACACACCGCCCGU
rnacentral:rRNA from 1 species